rnacentral:rRNA from 2 species
GAACGCUGGCGGCGUGCCUAAUACAUGCAAGUCGAACGAACUCUGGUAUUGAUUGGUGCUUGCAUCAUGAUUUGCAUUUGAGUGAGUGGCGAACUGGUGAGUAACACGUGGGAAACCUGCCCAGAAGCGGGGGAUAACACCUGGAAACAGAUGCUAAUACCGCAUAACAACUUGGACCGCAUGGUCCGAGUUUGAAAGAUGGCUUCGGCUAUCACUUUUGGAUGGUCCCGCGGCGUAUUAGCUAGAUGGUGGGGUAACGGCUCACCAUGGCAAUGAUACGUAGCCGACCUGAGAGGGUAAUCGGCCACAUUGGGACUGAGACACGGCCCAAACUCCUACGGGAGGCAGCAGUAGGGAAUCUUCCACAAUGGACGAAAGUCUGAUGGAGCAACGCCGCGUGAGUGAAGAAGGGUUUCGGCUCGUAAAACUCUGUUGUUAAAGAAGAACAUAUCUGAGAGUAACUGUUCAGGUAUUGACGGUAUUUAACCAGAAAGCCACGGCUAACUACGUGCCAGCAGCCGCGGUAAUACGUAGGUGGCAAGCGUUGUCCGGAUUUAUUGGGCGUAAAGCGAGCGCAGGCGGUUUUUUAAGUCUGAUGUGAAAGCCUUCGGCUCAACCGAAGAAGUGCAUCGGAAACUGGGAAACUUGAGUGCAGAAGAGGACAGUGGAACUCCAUGUGUAGCGGUGAAAUGCGUAGAUAUAUGGAAGAACACCAGUGGCGAAGGCGGCUGUCUGGUCUGUAACUGACGCUGAGGCUCGAAAGUAUGGGUAGCAAACAGGAUUAGAUACCCUGGUAGUCCAUACCGUAAACGAUGAAUGCUAAGUGUUGGAGGGUUUCCGCCCUUCAGUGCUGCAGCUAACGCAUUAAGCAUUCCGCCUGGGGAGUACGGCCGCAAGGCUGAAACUCAAAGGAAUUGACGGGGGCCCGCACAAGCGGUGGAGCAUGUGGUUUAAUUCGAAGCUACGCGAAGAACCUUACCAGGUCUUGACAUACUAUGCAAAUCUAAGAGAUUAGACGUUCCCUUCGGGGACAUGGAUACAGGUGGUGCAUGGUUGUCGUCAGCUCGUGUCGUGAGAUGUUGGGUUAAGUCCCGCAACGAGCGCAACCCUUAUUAUCAGUUGCCAGCAUUAAGUUGGGCACUCUGGUGAGACUGCCGGUGACAAACCGGAGGAAGGUGGGGAUGACGUCAAAUCAUCAUGCCCCUUAUGACCUGGGCUACACACGUGCUACAAUGGAUGGUACAACGAGUUGCGAACUCGCGAGAGUAAGCUAAUCUCUUAAAGCCAUUCUCAGUUCGGAUUGUAGGCUGCAACUCGCCUACAUGAAGUCGGAAUCGCUAGUAAUCGCGGAUCAGCAUGCCGCGGUGAAUACGUUCCCGGGCCUUGUACACACCGCCCGUCACACCAUGAGAGUUUGUAACACCCAAAGUCGGUGGGGUAACCUUUUAGGAACCAGCCG